rnacentral:lncRNA from 1 species
AUGAUAAAUUAUUUCAUUAAGGGUAUUAUAGACAUUUUACCAAAAAUGAAUAGUAGUAGGCCAUUUAUAAAAAUCUCCCAAUAUCAAGUCACAAAUUAAUCAUAUUGUUGGUGACAUACGCCAAAACACCCCACUCCCACCUCCAAUCUCUAUCUACCGCCGCCGCAGAUGGUCACCCACAUUUCUUCACGCCUCACUUGUCUUCAACAUCAACGAUUCAUCUACAGUCGCUAUCAUCGGCCGCCACCUAUACUAAAGCCGGCAAACCACUUCGACUACCACCAUUUCAUUUGAGUCGCCCGGUGCUCCUCUGUAGUAUAUACACCGCUAGAAACCAUUUUCACCACCUCCAAGGUCAAACUCCGUUCCUUCUCAUCAUGAAUCGCCACCAAACAACUCCCACAACUUCAUCCCUAUCGGUGGUUGCCUGUCUCUCUGACUGCCCCACCUCUACCUCACACUUUCAUAGCAAGCCCAUAUUGUCCACAAUUAACACAGUCGUCGUAGUCAACAUCAAGGGCCACUGUCGGAAGAACAAUUCUAAAGCAUGCGACGACGAGACCGCUGUCGGUAGAGAGUGAGAGAUCCACAGCCAUCUCCAUAUCCCUUGACUACAUCAACACCCCUGCAAAUUCAGUACACACCAGCAUCCCCACAGAUUCACUACAUCGCCACGAGCUACAUCGCCACGUGCGACGGCGAGGUGCUCUAAAAACAAGUCGGGUUGCUGAAUCGACGACGGAAGUGACACAUGAGCAGAGAGACAAUGGUGAAGAGAGAUGAGAGGAGAGGAGAGGAGAGGGCGGUAGAUGGUGGUGUGGAGAGGAGAGGAGAGGAGAGAAGAAAGAAAAAUCAAUUUAGGGCUUGAAUGGGGUAGGGUGUAUGUAUAUAGAGUAAUUUAUAGUAUUAUUAUUUAAAAUAUUCAUUUAUAAUAUUUAAAUUAAGAUCUGAUUUUUGUAUAAAUGAAUGUUUGCUCUUAUUUUUGAAAUUGGAUAUUUAAAAGUAAGAUAUGGUGUAAUUUCCUCAAAUUCAUAAGCCAUGUGUUAAUUAUGUACAAUUUAAAAAUCAAGUUUUAAGUUUAAUUAGUGCAAAAUUUAGAUUUUUAUUUAAUUAAUUAAAAAUAUUUAUUAAUUAUAUAUAAUAAGAUCACAAUUAUACAAUUAGUGAUCACGUGUAUAAAAUUAUAGGUCACAGAUUUAUUUACCGAUCAUAUAUCAUCAAAUUAAUUAGUCACAUAUUAUUUCGAGAUCACAAAUCAAAAAAAAAUUAGAUCACAAAUUAUUUUGAGGUCAGAAAUUAAAAUUUUUAUAAGUUAUAGAUUAUUUUUUAGUCACGAAUUAUAAAAUUUUAAGGUCACAAAUCAAAUCGUUGAGGUCACAGAUUAUAAAAUUUUAAGGUCACAAACCAUCGCAACCUCACCGCCAAAGCUAACACAACUACCACCGGCAAAACACACAACCGAACACGACAAGAGAUUGCACCACACAACCGUCGACCACCAUCACUUUGCCGACACCACUACCACCGGCAAAUCAGGAAUGAGCAGAGAAGAGGCAAGCUCCACGCGGUCCACAUGGACCACACCACUACCUAGAUCCAUCGCACUGCAACCUAGAUCCACCAUACCGGGCGACGCUGUUGCGAAACACACACCAUACCGCCACCUAGAUCCACACCAUACCACCACACCACACCAUAUCGUCAGGCAGGCCAGUUUAGUAGAGAAGAAGCACGCACACAUCUCCAUCGAAGUCUCCGAUCAGAGAAGAAUCGACUCUCAUACCCCCAGGUAAAUGCCAUGGACCGCCGGUGAAAUUCCCAAUCGUCGCAAGAUGCAGUUGUGGGUUAACGGGAGAGAAGAUGCUAUGUGAGAUUGAAAAUCUUAGGGAUGAAAUUGCCGAUG